rnacentral:rRNA from 11 species
AAAAGAAGUAGGUAGCUUAACCUUCGGGAGGGCGCUUACCACUUUGUGAUUCAUGACUGGGGUGAAGUCGUAACAAGGUAACCGUAGGGGAACCUGCGGUUGGAUCACCUCCUUA